UACGUAGGGGGCUAGCGUUGUCCGGAUUUAUUGGGCGUAAAGAGCGUGUAGGCGGCCAGGUAGGUCCGUUGUGAAAACUCGAGGCUCAACCUCGAGACGUCGGCGGAAACCCUCUGGCUAGAGUCCGGAAGAGGAGAGGGGAAUUCCUGGUGUAGCGGUGAAAUGCGCAGAUAUCAGGAAGAACACCCGUGGCGAAGGCGGCUCUCUGGGACGGUACUGACGCUGAGACGCGAAAGCGUGGGGGAGCAAACAGG
rnacentral:rRNA from 1 species